AACGAACGCUGGCGGCGUGCCUAACACAUGCAAGUCGAACGUGAUUAGAGAGCUUGCUCUCUAUGAAAGUGGCGCACGGGUGAGUAACGCGUAGAUAAUCUGCCUGAUGAUCGGGGAUAACACCUCGAAAGGGGUGCUAAUACCGGAUAAGCCCACGGAGUCUUUGGACUCUGCGGGAAAAGGGGGGGACCUUUUAGGCCUUCUGUCAUCAGAUGAGUCUGGGUACCAUUAGCUAGUUGGUAGGGUAAAGGCCUACCAAGGCGACGAUGGUUAGCUGGUCUGAGAGGAUGAUCAGCCACACUGGAACUGAGACACGGUCCAGACUCCUACGGGAGGCAGCAGUGGGGAAUUUUGCGCAAUGGGGGAAACCCUGACGCAGCAACGCCGCGUGAGUGAUGAAGGCCCUUGGGUCGUAAAGCUCUGACAGAGGGAAAGAAGUGUGUGGAGGCUAAUAACCUUUGCACUUGACGGUACCCUCAAAGGAAGCACCGGCUAACUCCGUGCCAGCAGCCGCAGUAAUAC
rnacentral:rRNA from 1 species